AGUGAAUAAGUCUCACAAGAUCUGAAGGUUAUAUAAAGAGAAGUUCCCUACACCACUUCUGUCUUUGCCUGCUGCCAUCCACGUGAUAUGUGACUUGCUGCUCCUUGCCUUCUGCCAUAAUUGUGAGGCCUCCUCAGCCACACGGAAAUGCUUAUAGGCAUAAGAGACUUGCCUUGUCUCAGAUGAAACUUUGGACUGUGGACUUUUGAGUUAAUGCUGAUAUUAGGACUCUGCUUACCCUUUGUGAAUAAGCCCAGUGAAUCUGCUGAGUGAUGAGAGAGAGAGUGGGCCAGUCACUUCAUUGCUCCAGGUGGUUAUGUUGAAGAUGUAAAUAUUCUCCCUGCUGUGAGUAUUACUGCAGCUGCCCAAAGAUGCUUUAUUUUAAAGAUGUGGAUACAGGAAGAUAAAAGCAUCAGAAACACUGCAUGGGACAAGAAGCUGAGUCUCAGAGAGAGAAAAUGACUCAUCCAAGCAAGGUUUGAGACCUAAGAAAGAAUCAACCUGAAUCAAAUAUAACUAUAGGAGGUGCCUUUUGGACAAUACAGAGGCCAUGCUCAAGGAACACAAAAGGAACUGAAGUUGUGUGGAUUACAAGAGAGUUCGAUGUGUUCUAAAUUCAUUAUGUAGGUAAUGAAUGGGAUCUCGUGAAAAGUGGAACUAAGCCUCUUUGGUAAAGCCUGAAGAGUGGAGUCAAAAGCAAUGAGUAGAAAUCAUUUUACCCAUGCCAUCCACCUACCUAUCUACCCAUACAGACACCCAACAAAUUGUAAAAGAAAAGUAGGCAAUCAGGAUAAUCAGUAGUUUAAUAUGAUUUGGGGGUUCAUUAAAGGCUUUCCUUUAGAAAUCACAUUUAAACUGAGACCUGAAGGAUGGCUUCUGUCGUUAGCCAGAUGAAAAGAGAAGAUAAGCAUUCCAAGCAGAGGGAACAGGAAAGGUGGAAACAAACUGGGCAUAUUCCAGGACGUGGAAGGAAGCAGUAGGUAGCUUAAGUAGCAUGAAGAACACUUACAGAAGAGUUUAGAAUGAAGCAGGAGCCAGACCAUGGAGGUUGUGUAAGCAGAAGCUGGAAGACCCUUGAAAAGAGCAUUCAUUCAAGAAAUGAAGCAUGAGAUAGGAUGGAAGGAGGGAAGAAAGACAAGCAUAUGGCAUAUCAGGUCUCUUCCAGUGCUAAAGGCUGCCUAUGAUACUCAUCUGACCUGAUUUCUCCUGCACAGUGUUGCAACUGACGAGUAGCAGACUUGCCCUUGCCUGCAUUUGGGGGGAUGGCUGAGACUUUCCUUACAGAAAGCCCUACUUUCAGCAUGAACACUAACCCAGUUUAUUGGCUCAGGGUGUAGAGAGUUGCCUUGUCACUGGCGAAGUCAGAUGCAGCCAGUACCAGAGCUCUGCACUAGCUGUGAACACUAAGGAAGAAUAGCUGAGUGAGGAAGCAGAGUGCCAGGCAGCACAUCCUUCUUCAGGUGUUUCCUGCCCUGGGCCAGAUCCCAGGCACUGCAGCAAUAUCUCUGCAUGAUCUAGGGCUCCUGGAAAUAGCCCAUUAAGGGCAAAACUCGCUGCCCAGAAAACAUUAGAACAUUAAAAGAGCAGGGUCUCAUCUGAUUGUCUUGGUUUCCUGAGGCUCAUUCAGUCUGUGUCCACUGGUUUCAGUCUGAGUUCUCUGCACUUUGAGGAUGCAGACAGUGAAGUUCUCCCAUGGUUAUAGGGGGAGAGAUCAUAGGAAUGCUAUGGAAAGAGGCCUGAAGUCAGAGCCAGCUAGUGGUUAUUAUUUAUUAAUUGCCUGUGAGGUGCCAGGCGCACAUAUUAGACCAUAUGUGAUUGCAGUGAGCCACCCGGAUCCCCUUCAAGCUGCUGCUGCAGCUGAUGGAAGUCCUAUUGGCAGACAGCCUUCUCUCAUCAGCCCCUUCAGGACUUGCCUCAGUUGCAGAGAGCUGCCUUCCCCAAGAUCACACCCUUCCCUGGGGACUCACAACCAAUGGCUGAUCCAGAAGAAUCCAUAAAGCCCGUAUCAUUUCAGCCCAAUUUAGGACAGCUUUGUUGAGCCAUUAGACCUACAUGCAGCCCAACCUCUCCUUCUACCCACUUCUUCUUUCUUCCCUUUCCUUCCACGGUGUCUGUUCCAAGCACUUGCCUUAAUAAACAUGUAACAGGUUAAACUCUGUCUCGAUGUCUGCUUCAAGGAGAACCCAACCUGUGACAGUGAUAACAGAUAAAAACAAAGGACAUCACUUUUCCCUGCCUUACUUUCCAUUUACCACUAAAAAGGGUCUUGGACUUGCCCACUCAGUUUCUUCUCUUUCUUCACUCUUUGGAGAUGGUCCCUCCACUACCACAGACACAAAAAAGAAGAGUUGGGAAGAGAGAGGGGUGAAAACAUUUGGGGCACUGCAGGCCUAGUGCUAGGUGACUGAAGACUACCUGGAGGGUGCAGGAAGUGACUGUUUCUCCAUCAUGUAUUGUAUUGCUAUAGUGACUUAAAAAACAAGUAGGUGAUUUGUGUUUUUUUGGUUUUUUUUUGUUUUUUUGGUUUUUUUUUUGAGACAGAGUCUCGCUCUGUCACCCAGGCUGGAGUGCAGUGGCGCUAUCUUGGCUCACUGCAAGCUCCACCUCCUGGGUUCAC
rnacentral:lncRNA from 1 species